GUCCUCAUAGUUCAGUGGCAGAACAGCGCUCUUGUAAAGCGCCGGCUCGUGUUCGAUUCACGGUGGGGACU
rnacentral:tRNA from 1 species